CCCCUCUGCAAAGCCUUCUUCAGCAUCCGGAUCAACCCGCGCGACUCCUCCUCGAACCACCGGCUCGUCGCCCGCUCCCAAUCCACCACCAGGUUGUAGCUCACGUCGCACUUCGGACACCCCAGCGGCGUCUCCAGCGUCCGAUGAAACGCCGCCUCAGGCAGCUUCCCCACCGGAUCGGUCCCGCUCCGGAUCGCCGCGAUCGUCAGAUUCAACGCCUCAACCCUCCCGGUACUGCGGCUGCCGCUUCUUCGGCGUAAAAAACCCGAACAGCAUAUGCAGCACUGCCAGCGCCAGCGCGCCCAGCAGCGCCGCCUUCCACCCAUUCACCACGAACCCCCGCACCACCGCGCUCGCGAACUUCAGCACCACCGCAUUGACCACCAGUAGAAACCCC
rnacentral:misc_RNA from 1 species